GGUGUGAGGGCGAUCUGGCUGCGACGUCUGUCCUGUUCUCCCGUUGGCCGCCAGGGUUGAUUAGGCUGAUCUGGCUGGUUAGGCGGGUGUCCCCUUCCUCCCUCAACCAUGUGCGUCCUACUGAAGUGCACACUUGGUCAAUGAGGACGACCUUCCCUGAUAGAGGAGGACCAUUCUUUGGCCAAGCGUAUAUGAGUCGCCGCGAUCCCCCUCUAGAACUUCCAAACAAGCUCUCAGGGUUUUACGUUUUAUGCAUUUAUGUCAUCUAAUUCUGGAGGGUCCUAUGAGCCAAGAAUGGCAUAUUCUUUAG
rnacentral:snRNA from 1 species